rnacentral:lncRNA from 1 species
CCAGACGUUCUUCGCCGAGAGUCGUCGGGGUUUCCUGCUUCAACAGUGCUUGGACGGAACCCGGCGCUCGUUCCCCACCCCGGCCGGCCGCCCAUAGCCAGCCCUCCGUCACCUCUUCACCGCACCCUCGGACUGCCCCAAGGCCCCCGCCGCCGCUCCAGCGCCGCGCAGCCACCGCCGCCGCCGCCGCCUCUCCUUAGUCGCCGCCAUGAC